rnacentral:rRNA from 1 species
CAGUCGCCGCGGUAAUACGUAGGUGGCAAGCGUUGUCCGGAAUUAUUGGGCGUAAAGGGCUCGCAGGCGGUUUCUUAAGUCUGAUGUGAAAGCCCCCGGCUCAACCGGGGAGGGUCAUUGGAAACUGGGAAACUUGAGUGCAGAAGAGGAGAGUGGAAUUCCACGUGUAGCGGUGAGAUGCGUAGAGAUGUGGAGGAACACCAGUGGCGAAGGCGACUCUCUGGUCUGUAACUGACGCUGAGGAGCGAAAGCGUGGGGAGCGAACAGGAUUAGAGACCCCUGUAGUCCCUGUCUCUUAUAA